AGCCCAGGAGAGGACUCGGGCCAACUGAGUGAGAAUCUACAAGGACCACAGGACCCAACUCCAGGCCGGGCCAUGGAAGCAACAACAACCAGACAGCACACAAAACUGCAAGAGCAAUAGGGGACUCAGGACCCUAAUGUCCACAGCGUUGGUAAGGAGAAGAACACAUUCGAGGAAGCAAAGCAGGGGCCCAAUAAGCGAUUAUGCCCAUCCACUUGAGCUUGUAUUAACAUAACUACUCUCCUCAUGACUACCACUCAAAGAAUAUACAAAGGACCUCUCAUUUUCCCAGAAAUAACCUCUCUAUAUGAACAGGCACAGCCAUUGUGGAAUGGCCUUGGGAUGGCCUGUGGAGCGAGAUAGAGAAGGAGUGUG
rnacentral:lncRNA from 1 species